rnacentral:rRNA from 1 species
CCUACGGGAGGCAGCAGUGAGGAAUAUUGGUCAAUGGCCGUAAGGCUGAACCAGCCAAGUCGCGGGAAGGAAGAAGGAUCUAUGGUUUGUAAACUUCUUGUAUAGGGGAAUAAAGGUAGACACGUGUGGAUAUUUGCAUGUACCCUAUGAAUAAGCAUAGGCUAACUCCGUGCCAGCAGCCGCGGUAAUACGGAGGAUGCGAGCGUUAUCCGGAGUUAUUGGGUUUAAAGGGUGCGUAGGAUGUUUUUUAAGUCAGCGGUGAAAGUCUGUGGCUCAACCCUAAAAUUGCCGUUGAAACUGGAUGCCUUGCUUGUGUUUGCGGUCGGCGGCAUUCCUGUUGUAGCUGU